ACCUGCAGCGGGAGCCGGGGGUCUUCCCGCGAGGGAGGCGGAACCUGACCCCGCGGAUGGCCGGACCGAAGAGGAAGGCUCCCGGGACGCCCGGCGCGCCAGAGAAGAAGAACAGGAAGUUGAAGAAGGCGCCGGCAGCAGAGAAACCGCCGGCAGCAAAGAAACCGCCGGCACCCGCAGCCCCGCAAGGCUCCACGGAAGCCCGUCCUGAGUUUGUUGAAAGCGGGCGGUUGCACUCUGGUGAUCUUUUGCGAACUGAGCAUGAAUCAUCAGCUGCUGCAGCACCGGCACCGCAGCCGCGUGCGCUUCCCAGGGACGCAGGCCGUUAGGCUUGAUGCCGGCCUGACAGGCACGGGCACUGAGUCCUGCAGCCCAGGCGGCCAGAGUGCGUGCCACAGCUUCCUGUUGUGCACGAGUCGAUGGCAGAUGCGCUGGGAGGCCUUCUGCAUGAUGAUAACCACAUUCUCUCAGAGACGGGUUCUGGGAAACACAAACCUGUUUGCAACAGAGAAUUCUGCAUGCGUUUCUAUGGAAAAGCACUGACGCCGGUCCUCCCAGCCUGGGGUCCCAGCGUGAUUCCACUAGAGGAAGGGCGAGGAAGAGAGCUAGGAGCAUCAAUGAUGAGAAAAUCCUGGAUCGACUGCCUCCCACGCCGUUAACGUUAGGCUUGUGGUCUGUGUUCUUGGGCUGGAGAGCCUCCGUGCUGAAGCAGGUCCUGCGUGGGCUCCAGUUCUCGGGCCCAGAGCUGUGUCCUGGCUCGUCCUCUACAAGCUCCCGUCCUCAGGGAGGGGAACUGGACCAGAGUCGCGUGGUGCAUCCCUGCAGGGCCAGCCCGGCGGGCAGCUGGGGCCUAGGAGCCAGGACGUGGUACUGUCAGCUCCCGACCAUCCGUCCAUCCCAGCAGCAGGCUCCUCGCAUCUCACAUGGGCUCGGUGUACAGAGAGGACCCCGCUGCCAGAGAGAGAAGGUCCGAGAGCCGACGGUUCAUUCCGUGGCUGGUUCCCCAGCUGCUCCCUCGGCUGAAAUGCCUAGGAACUCGGGCCGGGCACACCUGCGCUUCAGGCCUCGCGCAGCCACUCCCAGCAGCCCCUGUAGUUCUGGAACCAGUCUGACGAGGGCGUCUGCUGCUGUGGUUUCAUGAAUUAAUUCAGGCCCUUCCACUCCUGGCCGUGCACGAGUCACAGGAGGGAACCGUUAAAAGUCAGAUAGAACAAAGAGACGACUGUUUUCAGACAACAGGCAGUGCCCCCCUCCCAGGCCUGUCCCGCUGCCCAGGGUGAUGGCCCACCGAGGGGCGGCCAUGGAGAGAAGGGGGUCCUGGGCUGAGUGCGCCCUCAAAGCGUGAAGCCCUGCGGCCGAGCUGGGGCGGCCUGCUGGAGGGGAACCCAGGCUGCAGGGGGCUGGCCUGCGGUCCAAGCCCACCAGCCACACGGGACAUCUCA